rnacentral:rRNA from 1 species
UGAUGCAGCCAUGCCGCGUGUGUGAAGAAGGCCUUCGGGUUGUAAAGCACUUUCAGUAGGGAGAAGGUAGUGUAGUUAACACCUGCAUUAUUUGACGUUACCUACAGAAGAAGCACCGGCUAACUCCGUGCCAGCAGCCGCGGUAAUACGGAGGGUGCGAGCGUUAAUCGGAAUUACUGGGCGUAAAGCGCAUGCAGGCGGCCUGUUAAGUCAGAUGUGAAAGCCCGGGGCUUAACCUCGGAAUUGCAUUUGAAACUGGCAGGCUAGAGUCUUGUAGAGGGGGGUAGGAAUUUCAGGUGUAGCGGUGAAAUGCGUAGAGAUCUGAAGGAAUACCAGUGGCGAAGGCGGCCCCCUCGGACAAAGACUGACGCUCAGAUGCGAAAGCGUGGGGAGCAAACAGGAUUAGAUACCCUGGUAG